rnacentral:ncRNA from 1 species
ACUGGUAGAGGUGCGGUUUUUAAGAGUACCACAUUUUGAAGAGCAGCAGGGUGCUGUAUGUGGGGAAGGAAACACCGCCGAAGGAUACGUUUCUGCCCUGAAAGGGCGUAUUCUGGGCCGCCGCAGAAUAUGCGCCGGACUGUCACUCAGCAGGGGGAUCUUGGGGGAGAUCUUUUUCUGCAGUCAGUGGAGCGCUGCCAU